rnacentral:lncRNA from 1 species
GGCGGGGCCAGUUAGGUCGAGGGUCCCUGGGAUCGUCGGGUCAGGCCUUGGGCUAACGUAGGCACUCUCGCAGUUCCUCCGCCUUCAGGAAGGUCUUUUUAGCAGGGGCCUUACGGGUGCAUGCUUCGGUCCUGGAGGACUUAGGCUAGCCUCCUCUCCAUCAGCGCCACCCGUCUGGGGCCCGAAAGGAGGGAGCUUUCCCUCUGUCCCCCAGCCUUUGGACUGUCACCAAACAAGCCAUUCGUUCACCAAAUACUUUUUAAGCGCCUACCAUGUGCCUGACAAGGGAUAUGUAACGGUGAGAAAAACUAGGUGUGGUCCAGGCCCUUCAGGGACUCAGGGGCUCGUGGAAGAAGUGGAUAUUGAAGUACUUAUCACACAAAGGAGGAUAAAAGUACGAUAGCGAUAUCUACCACGAAGCUGUUGUUCCACACCAGAACCAAAUGAGCGCAAGAUCUGACAAAAAAAAAAGUCCCUGUAUCCUGAGAUGGAGUCACCUGAGAAUCCACAGCAAGUCCUAACCAGGGAUGGGUCUGGGUGAUUAAGGAAGAUUGGCUUCAGAACUGGGCCAGGGGCACUGCUUUGCUUUUGCUGUUUUGAUCAGCUCUCUGCCUGCAGGAGACGAGGAAAACCAAUGGGAACAGCUGGGGAAACUGAGUUACAGAGCUUUUCUGCACUGAGUCAUCAGGAGCAAAUGCUAGAUCAGGCCAGAGUGCAGUUGACGCAGAGCAGGGGAGCCCUGAAAUGGAGCAUAGUGUGUCCGGAACUGGUGGGUUCUUGGUCUCACUGACUUCAAGAAUGAAGCUGCGGACC